CUCAGCUAGGGGAGACUCUCCGUAAGCACACUGAAUGUGGAAGAACUUUCGUUGACAGUUUGAAGCUCAGUGUAUCUCAGAAAACUCAUUUGCAUGCGGAGCCUCAUGAAUGCAGUAUUUGUAGAAAGUCCUUCUAUGUGGAUUUACAGUUUGGGCAUCAGAGAGCUAUCUCAGGAAACAGUCCGUAUGAGCGAAGUGAAUAUGAGAAACUCUUCUGUGACCAUUCAGCUUUCAUUGUUCAUCAGGAAGCUUACACAAGAAAGAUCUCCCAGGAGUAUAAAGUGAGUAACAGAACUUGGGGAAAGCCAGCUCUCUUUAAACAUCAGAUAAUACAGAUCGGGGGGAAACCCUAUGAAUACCAUGAGAAUAGGAAAAAUUUCAGCAAAAAA
rnacentral:lncRNA from 1 species